UUUAUAGAUCUUGUGAUCUGUCUAAACCCGGGCCGUAUGUGGCGGCCUAUCCUGCUUAACUGAUAAUCCAGCACUUGGUGCUGUAAAUGCUAAUAAUAAUUCCAUGAUAAUUUCCUUUUAUAUACGUGGUGUAGCUUCUAUACAUCAAAUGUCAUUGUGGGAACCUACAUGCAUCACAGUUAGAACCAAUUUUAGCUGCAAUGCUUUCCUGACCUUAUACAAAAUAUGUAAAAAUAAUUAUAUUGUUAUGCUGUUCUACAAUAACAUUAGAAAACAAAUGUCCACAAUCCCUUUUUUUAAAAA